AGCGGUGUAGCUCAGGAGAUAAGAGCGUCCGGUGCAUUCCCGGAAGGUAUUGGUUCGACUCCAAUCACCGCUACCA
rnacentral:tRNA from 1 species